rnacentral:tRNA from 1 species
GGAGAGUAAUCCUUGAUGGCGAUAGGGCUUGCCUGCUAAGCAAUGCGUACCUUUUUGGUAUGUGGUUCGAUUCCACUGCUCUCCG